rnacentral:rRNA from 1 species
CUACGGGACGCAGCAGUGGGGAAUCUUAGACAAUGGGCGCAAGCCUGAUCUAGCCAUGCCGCGUGAGUGACGAAGGCCUUAGGGUCGUAAAGCUCUUUCGCUGGGGAAGAUAAUGACGGUACCCAGUAAAGAAACCCCGGCUAACUCCGCGCCAGCAGCCGCGGUAAUACGGAGGGGGUUAGCGUUGUUCGGAAUUACUGGGCGUAAAGCGCGCGUAGGCGGAUCAGAAAGUUGGGGGUGAAAUCCCGGGGCUCAACCCCGGAACUGCCUUCAAAACUCCUGGUCUUGAGUUCGAGAGGGGUGAGUGGAAUUCCGAGUGUAGAGGUGAAAUUCGUAGAUAUUCGGAGGAACACCAGUGGCGAAGGCGGCUCACUGGCUCGAUACUGACGCUGAGGUGCGAAAGCGUGGGGAGCAAACAGGAUUAGAUACCCGAGUAGUC